GUCUAUGGCCAUGCCACCCUGAACAACUCCGAUCCCAUCUGAUCUGAGAAGCUAAGCAGGGUUGGCCCUGGUUAAUAUUUGGAUGGGAGACAACCAAGGAAGACCAGGUGUAAAAAAUA
rnacentral:rRNA from 1 species